GACGAACGCUGGCGGCGUGCUUAACACAUGCAAGUCGAACGGUGAACCUCUUCGGAGGGGCUCAGUGGGGAACGGGUGAGUAACACGUGGGCAACCUGCUACCGGCUCUGGGAUAACUCCAAGAAAUUGGGGCUAAUACCGGAUGUUCACCGCUUCCCGCAUGGGUGGUGGUGGAAAGGGUUUCCGGCGGGGGCUGGGCCCGCGGCCUAUCAGCUUGUUGGUGGGGUAGUGGCCUACCAAGGCGACGACGGGUAGCCGGCCUGGGAGGGUGACCGGCCACCCUGCGACUGAGACACGGCCCAGACUCCUACGGGAGGCAGCAGUGGGGAAUAUUGCGCAAUGGGCGGAAGCCUGACGCAGAGACGCCGCGUGGGUGAUGACGGCCUUCGGGUUGUAAACCUCUUUCUGCAGGGACGAAGCGCAAGUGACGGUACCUGCAGAAGAAGCACCGGCCAACUACGUG
rnacentral:rRNA from 1 species